UACAGAGGGUGCGAGCGUUGUCCGGAAUCACUGGGCGUAAAGGGCGCGUAGGUGGCGCGACAAGUCAGUGGUGAAAGCUCGACGCUCAACGUCGAGUCGGCCACUGAUACUGUUGGGGCUGGAGCACUGUAGAGGCUAAUGGAAUUCCGGGUGUAGCGGUGGAAAUGCGUAGAGAUCCGGAAGAACACCGGUGGCGAAGGCGGUUAGCUGGGGCAGUUUGCUGACACUGAGGCGCGACACGUGGGG
rnacentral:rRNA from 1 species